AAUGGUGAAUCCCACGCACCCGCGUCAUCACGUGCGUGCAGAGAAGUGAAAGUCUUGCCACAUCUGAUUGCAAAAAGCGCAGCUGCCAUGGUAAUGCCUGCUCUUGUGGAAAACGUCUGCAGCGACUCGGAGUCCUGCGGAAGAUUAGUCAUCGGCACAUGCUUCGUCUACCUGCAUGCACUGAAUACCAACAAAGCGACAUUGAGCUCGGCAUGCACACUGCUCGCAGAAGCCGACCACUACAAAGGUAUUUCGCAGCCGAAGCGAACCUUAUACGCCAGAAGCACAACGCAAAGAGGAAGGCUCAAGAUGCAUUGGUGCUCAGUUAUGCUCCUGAUUCUCUCUGUACUAUACACCGUGCAUACUUCAGAAGCUGCAGAAAAUCAGCUGGGAGCGGUUCUCACAGUCGUCUCAGAUAUUUUCAACAACGUUAUGGCAGUCGUCGCCGCCGGAAAGAAGGAAAUCACAGGCCUGUUCGGUCUCGGACCACGCGUUCGUGCUCUAACGCCCCUUGAGGUGGUACCUGCGUAAAUUCAAGUUCUGCUAUGAAAUGCCGGGCGUUUGCCUCAGGCAUAGCUUCUUCGGCCCAAGAAACAGAAGAAACAGAAGACACAGAAGCUGGUGUUUUAGCCGUUGAAGUCUUUUUGACUUCACAGCAAAAUUUUGUCUGGCUUUUUCCGAAGUGGUAUUUAAAGCUGACCAUUGAGUUAGUGGCAGGCAGUCAUUUUGUAGAAAGAGCGUUUUAUUAAAACGAAGUCAUAUAUUGAAU